GCCUUCGUGGUGUAGUGGUCAGCACACUCGGCGCGUAUUCCAGAGGCCCGUGGUUCGAGUCCCGGUGAAGGCA
rnacentral:tRNA from 1 species